rnacentral:rRNA from 1 species
GUGAAUUCCGGACAGGGGUACGGGGAAAGAGGAAGGGGGGUGGGGUGUUUCGGAAGUACUGGGCGUAAAGGGCGGGGAGGCGGCCUUGAUAGUUGGGCGUGAAAGGCCUGGGCUUAACCCGGGAACUGCGUUCAAUACUGCGAUGCUAGAGUGUGGGAGAGGUUGGUGGAAUUCCCAGUGUAGAGGUGAAAUUCGUAGAUAUUGGGAAGAACACCGGUGGCGAAGGCGGCCAACUGGACCACAACUGACGCUGAGGCGCGAAAGCGUGGGGAGCAAACAGGAUUAGAUACCCCAGUAGUC